AGAGUUUGAUCAUGGCUCAGAUUGAACGCUGGCGGCAGGCUUAACACAUGCAAGUCGAGCGGGGAAAGGUAGCUUGCUACUUAACCUAGCGGCGGACGGGUGAGUAAUGCUUAGGAAUCUGCCUAUUAGUGGGGGACAACAUCUCGAAAGGGAUGCUAAUACCGCAUACGUCCUACGGGAGAAAGCAGGGGACCUUCGGGCCUUGCGCUAAUAGAUGAGCCUAAGUCGGAUUAGCUAGUUGGUGGGGUAAAGGCCUACCAAGGCGACGAUCUGUAGCGGGUCUGAGAGGAUGAUCCGCCACACUGGGACUGAGACACGGCCCAGACUCCUACGGGAGGCAGCAGUGGGGAAUAUUGGACAAUGGGGGGAACCCUGAUCCAGCCAUGCCGCGUGUGUGAAGAAGGCCUUUUGGUUGUAAAGCACUUUAAGCGAGGAGGAGGCUACCGAGAUUAAUACUCUUGGAUAGUGGACGUUACUCGCAGAAUAAGCACCGGCUAACUCUGUGCCAGCAGCCGCGGUAAUACAGAGGGUGCAAGCGUUAAUCGGAUUUACUGGGCGUAAAGCGCGCGUAGGUGGCCAAUUAAGUCAAAUGUGAAAUCCCCGAGCUUAACUUGGGAAUUGCAUUCGAUACUGGUUGGCUAGAGUAUGGGAGAGGAUGGUAGAAUUCCAGGUGUAGCGGUGAAAUGCGUAGAGAUCUGGAGGAAUACCGAUGGCGAAGGCAGCCAUCUGGCCUAAUAA
rnacentral:rRNA from 1 species